rnacentral:sRNA from 1 species
CUGCAUAGGGCGGAAGCUAAAUGGAGAAACCUUCCACAUCCCGAUUUGCGAAAUCGGCGCGGUUGGGCACAAGUCCUUUCUCAAUGCUGCUAGCAUCCUCCUCCUUUUGUUGGCACGCCCUUUACAUGAUCCGGAUUUCUGUGUACGGCUUAGAUCAACGCCUUUGGCGAAUUGAUCAGAUGCCGUGUGAUAGCACACGUCCACUCAUGCAUUCUGCGUAUGGAGUACAUGUCCUAAAAUUCAAUGGCGUCGUUCACGAGUUGCGAUUAAUAAUUAUGGGGGCAGAACGAUUCAUAGAGGCUUCUCUGACUAAUCCAAUGAUUCGGUCAUUGAUGGCCCUGAGGACUAUCAAUUUAGGUUCUGCAGGCCGA